GCCUGGUUAUAUCAGUCGGUAGAUAGUUUGACUCUUACUCCAUUGUUAAGAUAUCAAAAUGUCAUGGGUUCGAGCCCCAUACUAGGCU
rnacentral:tRNA from 1 species